ACGCUUUUUUGUUUGUUCGGAACUCAGUGCAGGAAAAUGCGAUCGACGUUUAUUAAUUAACCACGGCAGUCAAAGGUAGACCUCGGAUUAGAACCACGUGUCCCGGGCUCAGCUCCGCAGGUCUAGCUUCCAGACGGGAUGGUGUGCAACGUGCAGAAAGGAAUUUUGAAAGAUGCUACUUGCGAACAAUCCCUUUCGUCUUCGAUCGCUUUCUUUUGGUGAACCCUGCCUUCAAAAGCACUAUUUCCAUGCUUAUCAGACACCCCUACUCCUAAGAAUCAUGUUACAGUACUCGGAGAGGGAGAGAGGAAGACACGUGGGAACAAAAAAGGGGAGAUCAUUUGCUUUCACUGACCAAAGUUCGUUCCUUCCACCACCCAGGUAUGCACGCAGAACUGGGACCGACAGAACUUUCCAUUACUGAUGUCUUGAUGCCAACCAGCAAUGUGACCACCCAAGACGUCAAGUCCUUGUCCAUCCUGAGUCAGAAUCUACCUGACAACCUGAUCACCUCUCAGCUCGCCAUCUCGGAUCAAGAGGGGUACCCUAAAAAUCUGAAUGUGACACGAGCAAGUACGUUACAGGUGAUGACUCUCUUCGUCUGGUACACCACCUCCCUCUACAAGCAACUGUCCAAUAUGGCAGAACAAGGGUAAAAGACUAGAGGGAAUGCCUCGUCUCAAGGAUGUGCUGAUGAGGGAGCCAUUUUGGAGAGUCGCUCAAAAUCCAGCUACUCAUAAGCCCUUCUUGCUGAAGGAUCAUAGCACACGAGAGAGCACGAAGGAUUCAUUUGCUUCAGAACCUCUCCCGAACGCCUGCUGCAUUCCACACACUGUGGUAGGUGCUGAGGGUUUUCAAGAGAAAAUUCCCUUGCCUUCCUGGAGCUUCUUAGUGGGAGGAAAUAGGCAAUGAAAAAAAUACAGAGAAUGUCAGGUGGUACCCAGUGCUAUGCGGGGGGAAAGGCUGAGUUAAAAGGGAUGG